rnacentral:lncRNA from 1 species
UUAAUUCAUAUAUUAUUUUAAAAUAUGUUAUUAGAAUGUUAUUAGAAAACUAUGAAAUUUUUAGUAGUUCAAAUCAAAUUUUAAUUGUAACUUUUUCUUAAUUAUAACAAAAUCUAUUGAGAAAAUUUAGAAAAUAUCACCAAAAAAUUAAAUAUUUUUAUUAUAAAUUAGUGUAUUAAUGUAGUAACAAAAACAAAUUCAAAAUGUAAUCUUCCAAACUCAAAUAUAGUACUGUAAUUUUUCAAAGUUUACUUGACAAAAUAUAAAUUUUGAAAAUAAAUAUUCAAACUCGAA